GCAAUUUUCCCUCAAAAAUAGUUCAAAGCUUCACGAAAUGAACCCAAAAUAACACUUACAGGUUCGAGAAAUUCGUCAAAUUUGGCCGGAAAAAAUGGCUUCCGACGAAGGAACCAAUUUAGAUUCAUCUCGGUUGAAAUUUGGGACACCGGAGGCGUUGGAAGAGGUGCGGAAUCUCACUGACGUUGGAGACAUGACUAGACUUCUCCACGAGUGCAUUGCAUAUCAACGAGCCCUAGAUCUAGAACUGGAUACUAUCCUUUCACAUAGAUCUGACCUUGACAAGCAGCUUUCCGGCCUUCAAAAAUCCGCUCAAGUUCUCGACAUUGUUAAAGCUGACGCGGAUCACUUAUUCUCCAACAUCAGUUCAACUUCUCUCCUUGCUGAUCAGGUAAGCGCAAAAGUCCGUCAGCUCGAUCUAGGUCAGUCGCGUGUUAACGACACUCUCCUUCGAAUAGAUGCUAUCGUUGAUCGCUCUAAUUGUUUAGACGGUGUACGUAAGGCACUUGCAUCUGAGGACUUUGAAUCUGCUGCUAAUUAUGUUCAGACGUUCCUUCAACUUGACGCUAAGUACAAGGAUUCAGCUGCUUCUGACCAGAGAGACCAGCUCCUUGCCUCUAAGAAGCAGCUUGAAGGGAUUGUCCGGCGUAAAUUGGCAGAAGCAGUUGAUCAGCGUGAUCACUCCACCGUUCUGCGGUUCAUAAGGCUGUAUCCUCCGUUGGCAUUGGAGGAGGAGGGACUGCAAGUGUACGUGAUGUAUUUGAAGAAGGUAAUUGCCAUGAGAUCGCGCCUUGAGUAUGAGCAAUUGGUUGAAAUGAUGAGUGAUCAGCAGGGAUCCAGCCAGAACCAGCUUAAUUUUGUAUCCUGUUUGACUAAUUUAUUCAAAGAUAUCGUCUUGGCUAUUGAAGAGAAUGAUGAAACUUUAAGGAGCUUGUGUGGAGAGGAUGGCAUUGUUUAUGCAAUAUGUGAACUUCAAGAAGAGUGUGAUUCUCGUGGUUCUACUAUUAUAAAGAAGUACAUGGAGUACAGGAAACUAGCGAAAGUGACUUCUGAGAUUAAUUCUUACAAGAGCGAUUUGCUGUCUGUUGGAAUCGAAGGACCAGACCCCAGAGAUAUCGAAGUAUAUUUGGAGGAGAUCUUGUCUUUGACACAGUUGGGUGAGGAUUACACGGGGUAUAUGAUAUCGAAGAUUAGGGGUUUGAGUUCUGUUGAUCCCGAAUUAGGUCCCCGUGCCACAAAGGCUUUUAGGAGUGGUAAUUUCAGUAAAGUUGUGCAAGACAUUACCGGUUAUUAUGUGAUAUUGGAAGGAUACUUCAUGGUUGAGAAUGUGAGAAAAGCUAUAAAAAUUGAUGAACUCGUGUUCGAUAGUCUCACAACUUCCAUGGUGGACGAUGUCUUCUAUGUUCUGCAGAGCUGUUGUCGAAGGUCCAUUUCCACUUCAAAUAUCAACUCUGUGAUUGCAGUUUUAAGCAGUGCUGUAAGUCUAUUAGGCGGUGAGUUCAAUGAGGCUUUGCAACAGAAAGUCAGAGAGCCUAAUCUUGGAGCCAAGCUGUUCUCUGGCGGCGUUGCUGUACAAAAGAAUGGUACAGAGAUUGCCACGGCUUUGAAUAAUAUGGAUGUGAGUGGUGAGUAUGCAUUGAAAUUACGGCAUGAGAUUGAAGAACAAUGUGCUGAGGUGUUUUCUGCACCAGCAGAUAGAGAGAGGGUCAAAUCAUGUUUAUCUGAAUUAAAUGAGACAAGCAAUGGUUUCAAGAAGGCCUUGAACAUUGGCUUGGAACAACUAGUGGCUACUGUGACGCCUCGAAUUCGGCCAGUGUUGGAUACUGUUGCAACAAUCAGUUAUGAGCUGUCUGAAUCUGAAUAUGCUGACAAUGAGGUAAAUGACCCAUGGGUUCAAAGGCUUCUCCAUGCGGUAGAGACCAAUGUGGCUUGGCUUCAACCAUUAAUGACUGCUAACAAUUAUGACUCGUUUGUACAUCUGGUCAUUGACUUUGUUGUUAAGAGGCUUGAGGUUAUCAUGAUGCAAAAGAGAUUCAGUCAACUUGGUGGUCUUCAACUUGACAGAGAUAUUCGAGCACUUGUGAGCUACUUCUCCAACAUGACCCAGAGGACUGUUAGGGACAAGUUUGCUCGUCUAACCCAAAUGGCUACAAUAUUAAACUUGGAGAAGGUCUCUGAGAUUCUGGAUUUCUGGGGUGAGAACUCAGGACCCAUGACCUGGCGACUUACUCCAGCUGAGGUUAGAAGAGUGUUGAGUUUGAGGGUUGACUUCAAAUCUGAGGCAAUAUCGGCUCUUAAGUUGUAAACCUUUUUAUGGUUCAAUUUUGUUCAAUAUCUCUUUAUAUGCUUGGUGUUGCCACAUUUAAAAUUUUCAGGUUUAUUUACUUCUAUAAGAGAUUGUAUUGGGCACGAAAUCUAUGAAAUAUUGUUCAAUCGAAC
rnacentral:misc_RNA from 1 species